UCUCCGUUGGUGAACCAGCGGAGGGAUCAUUACUGAGUUUACAACUCCCAAACCCUUUGUGAACAUACCUUUUUGUUGCUUCGGCAGAAGCUGCUCGGUGCACCCUACCUUGGAACGGCCUACCCUGUAGCGCCUUACCCUGGAACGGCUUACCCUGUAACGGCUGCCGGUGGACUACCAAACUCUUGUUAUUUUAUUGUAAUCUGAGCGUCUUAUUUUAAUAAGUCAAAACUUUCAACAACGGAUCUCUUGGUUCUGGCAUCGAUGAAGAACGCAGC
rnacentral:misc_RNA from 1 species